UACAGAGGGUGCAAGCGUUAAUCGGAAUUACUGGGCGUAAAGCGCGCGUAGGUGGUUUGUUAAGUUGGAUGUGAAAGCCCCGGGCUCAACCUGGGAACUGCAUUCAAAACUGACAAGCUAGAGUAUGGUAGAGGGUGGUGGAAUUUCCUGUGUAGCGGUGAAAUGCGUAGAUAUAGGAAGGAACACCAGUGGCGAAGGCAGCCCCCUGGGUCGAUACUGACGCUCAUGCACGAAAGCGUGGGGAGCAAACAGG
rnacentral:rRNA from 1 species